GAAGUAGCUCAGCUGGUAGAGCGUCGGGUUCAUAAUCCAAGGAGAGGGUUUGAUACCCACCAAAAGCA